CAAAAAAUUGAUCUUAGUUCAUGAUUUCUACAAUAAUACACAUUAGCAAGCAACUGAAUUGACUAAAUUUAGAACAACGUAACCAUAUUUACUCGUCAAUUAUCUUCACAACGAGUACUACAUAUAAUUUGUAAUUGCAACAUUCAACAGAAAUUAGAUAUCGUCCAAAGAAAAGAGAUAAAAACCUCUUAAAACUUAAAAUCAAAAUCCUUUAGGCGCAGUCUCCUUCAAAACCACCGGUUCUUCAGCCAUUGACAAGCAAUACUUAGCAAUCUCUCUGAACUUAGGCACACUCCUAAGAUCAACCUUAGUACCAUCUUUCAAGGUAAUCACAAUAUCACCCCAUUCGCCUAUAAAACGCGGCACGACUUGUACAUCCUUAAUCACCUUGUAAGAGAAAUCACUCCUGUCUUGACCUGUCAACCCUGAAAUCACUGUCACACGUAGGUUCGUGAACCUGUAUCUCAGAUAAAAGGCCCUCGACACUGCAGCUAGAGUCAAUGGUAGCCAAAGCAGAGUGAAACCCAGUAGCAGAUUGGCUACGAGGUCCCCGUAGUGUGCUCCACCGUCGAAAAAGAUUGUUUCUUCCUUAGGUUUUUUUGAGGGGGUGGUGGUAAUGGGUUUGUUGGUCGGAGAGGAGAUGUGAAGCUUGGUAAUUGGCCUGCGAUUUUUAGAGGGAAAGGUAGGGAAGAGGAUUUUGGAGGAGAGAUAGAGAGAUUGGUGGGUGACGGAGGUGGUUGCGGUGGUGGUGGUGGUGGUGGUAGUAGUUUAAGAGGAGGGAGUUAGGGGCAGGGUUUCCAAAAGACAGUGGUUUACUCCGGACCUGUGAGAUGGAGUAUCGGAUGUUGGAUUAUUGACUGGUUUUGAGAGACAACCAGAU
rnacentral:misc_RNA from 1 species